rnacentral:rRNA from 1 species
AGAGUUUGAUCCUGGCUCAGAUUGAACGCUGGCGGCAGGCUUAACACAUGCAAGUCGAGCGGUAGCACAGAGAAACUUGUUUCUUGGGUGACGAGCGGCGGACGGGUGAGUAACGCGUAGGAAUCUGCCUGGUAGUGGGGGACAACAUGUGGAAACGCAUGCUAAUACCGCAUACGCCCUUAGGGGGAAAGGAGGGGAUCUUCGGACCUUUCGCUAUCAGAUGAGCCUGCGUGAGAUUAGCUAGUUGGUGGGGUAAAGGCUCACCAAGGCGACGAUCUCUAGCUGGUCUGAGAGGAUGACCAGUCACACUGGGACUGAGACACGGCCCAGACUCCUACGGGAGGCAGCAGUGGGGAAUAUUGGACAAUGGGGGCAACCCUGAUCCAGCCAUGCCGCGUGUGUGAAGAAGGCCUUAGGGUUGUAAAGCACUUUCAGUGGUGAGGAAGGUUGCGAGGUUAAUACCCUUGUAAUUUGACGUUAGCCACAGAAGAAGCACCGGCUAACUCUGUGCCAGCAGCCGCGGUAAUACAGAGGGUGCAAGCGUUAAUCGGAAUUACUGGGCGUAAAGCGCGCGUAGGUGGUUUGUUAAGUCGGAUGUGAAAUCCCCGGGCUCAACCUGGGAACUGCACCCGAUACUGGCAGGCUAGAGUACAAUAGAGGGGUGUGGAAUUUCCUGUGUAGCGGUGAAAUGCGUAGAUAUAGGAAGGAACAUCAGUGGCGAAGGCGACACCCUGGAUUGAUACUGACACUGAGGUGCGAAAGCGUGGGGAGCAAACAGGGAUUAGAUACCCUGGGUAGUCCACGCCGUAAACGAUGUCUACUAGCCGUUGGGGAAUUUAUUUCUUAGUGGCGCAGCUAACGCGAUAAGUAGACCGCCUGGGGGAGUACGGCCGCAAGGUUAAAACUCAAGGGAAUUGACGG